UUUUUUAUGCCCGUUUCAAAAUGCGGUCAAAACGGCGGGAAUGACCAUUCCUAGCUAGUGGUUGAAUCUUGGAAUUUUGUUGGUGUUUCUCUGAUUAAAAAGAUACUUAUGUACCUAGAAAUGAUUUUUGGAAAAAAUAAAUAGCAAACUAUGAGGCAGCUGCAGUUCAAAUUUGACCCGCUUCCAGCUGAAUCGGCGGAAAUUUGUCUUUUUCACGAGAGGUGGAUCAAAACUUUUUGCACCCAACCAUUUGGUCACUUUUGCAUUAAAUAUGGCCUAGUAUUUUAUAAAAAUGAUUUGCUCCAAUUUUGCAACAAUUAUUUGGGAGGUCCUUCACAAAAAACCUCCUUUUCGGGACUCGAAAAAUGAAAAAUAGUUUUUUCGUACAAAUAAAAUGAAAACUUCCUUAGGAAACAUUGUUUGCCAUUCCAAUAUGCACCCUUGUGCACAAUAUGAGAUCAUUUGAACAAACUAUGCCAUGAAUGUGGCCAUAAGAUUGAUCAUUUGGCUUGAAAGCCAUUGAUCUCCAUACAUGAUAGCUCGUUUUUGAGAACAUUUUUUAAAAUAAUUGCCGUAUUACAAGUUUGUUAUUUUUCCUGGGAACUUGGCCACAUAUAAUUACACAAUGCGAAGGUUCCCCAAUUUUUUGAUUUUUUUUAAAAUUUUAUGCCCGUUUCAAAAUGCGGUCAAAACGGCGGGAAUGACCGUUCCUAGCUAGUGGUUGAAUCUUGGAAUUUUUUUGGUGUUUCUCUGAUUAAAUAGAUACUUAUGUACCUAGAAAUUAUUUUUGGAAAAAAUAAAGAGCAAACUACAAGGCAGCUGCAGUUCAAAUUUGACCCGUUUCCAGCAGAAUUGGCGGAAAUUUGUCAUUUUCACGAGAGGUGGAUCAAAACUUUUUGCACCCAACCAUUUGGUCAAUUUUGCAUUAAAUAUGGCCUAGUAUUUUAUAAAAAUGAUUUGGUCCAAUUUUGCAACAAUUAUUUGGGAGGUCCUUCACAAAAAACCUCCUUCUGGGCACUCAAAAAAUGAAAAAUGGUUUUUUCGUACAAAGAAAAUGACAACUUCCUUAGGCAACAUUGUUUGCCAUUCCAAUAUGCACCCUUGUGCACAAUAUGAGAUCAUUUGAACAAACUAUUCCAUGAAUGUGGCCAUAAGAUUGAUCAUUUGGCUUGAAAGCCAUUGAUCUCCAUACAUCAUAGCUCGUUUCUGAGAACACUUUUUAAAAUAAUUGUCGUAUUACAAGUUUGUUAUUUUUCCUGGGAACUUGGCCACAUAUAAUGACACAAUGCGAAGGUUUCCCAAUUUUUUGAUUUUUUUCAAAAAUUUAUGCCCAUUUCAAAAUGCGGUCAAAUCAGCGGGAAUGACUGUUCCUAGCCAGUGGUUGAAUCUUGGAAUUUUUUUGGUGUUUCUCUGAUUAAAUAGAUACUUAUGUACCUAAAAAUGAUUUUUGGAAAAAAUAAAGAGCAAACUACAAGGCAGCUAUAGUUCAAAUUUGACCCACUUCCGGCUGAAUCGGCGGAAAUUUGUCUUUUUCACGAGAGGUGGAUCAAAUCUUUUUACACCCA
rnacentral:lncRNA from 1 species